UGGUCAAGUUAUUAAGGGUGCAGGGCGGAUGCCUUGGCACUAGGAGCCGAUGAAGGACGUGAUAAGCUGCGAUAAGCUUCGGGGAGUUGCACGUAAACUUUGAUCCGAAGAUUUCCGAAUGAGGAAACUCACUUAGAGUAAUGUCUAAGUAUCAUUAAGUGAAUACAUAGCUUAAUGAGGGGAACUCAGGGAACUGAAACAUCUAAGUACCUGAAGG
rnacentral:rRNA from 1 species